AACACAUUUUUCUUGCUUUGCUCUCCUCUAGACAUUUGUAAAGAUACUGAAUUCUUUCUGAAAACACGGCCUGCUUUGGUGCUUCUGAAAGCUCCCACUUCCAGAGUUUGUUCUUUUCCUUAGUUUUUACAGGCAAACACAACUAUGAUACAAGUGAAUGAAGCUCUGCAGAAAUAUAGAUGUCUCCAGUGACCUGAGCUUUAAGCCUAAAAGCCCUUUGGAUUGGAUAUAAAUGCUUUUGCCUUGGCCAGAAAUUGGCUUCUGCAAGAACAACAGAAGAUUAAGCAGCCCAUCUAAACCCAGGUGCAUCUUAUAAUGAUGAUAUAAAUUAGUUUCUAGCACUCAUCCAACUCUUACGACUGUUGAAACUUAAACUGAAGCCGAGUGCCGUCUUUAUGAAUCAGGUCCAGGCAAGAGGAUGCUAAACAAAUGCAGAAUGUUGAGGACCCCUGCUUUAAAACUGUGACCAUCUAUGACCUGUGGUGAACAACAGGAGAGGAGGCCCUACCUGUGAAAGAAGUCCUUGGCUGGUGUUGCCUUCCCAAUUGCUGCAUUUCCAUGGACACAGGAGCCAUGUGGUGGUGCAUCUGCAACGAAUCACCUGGCCCUGAUCUAGUCUUUGUGUCCACACAGCCUGGAUAGAGAAGUGGUUCCCAUCCAUGUUCCCAGACAAUCUACAGGAAUGAUUGAGGGGGUGUGACUGGAAAAUCCAGAAGCUGAUGUGUCCUUGGAUAAGGAUUUUGUUGAGCUCAGCAGAAUCAGGCCCUGUCUGGCAAUAUGGGACUGGCCUGUUACUGAUGUGAGGAGGCAGGGAGACAUGAAGCACAAAAGGAAAAUCCUCAGAAGGAAAUUCCUCAGGUGGGAAAAGUGGGCACUGAAAUGGUUUUAUGCCAUCUGCCAAAUUCUCCUUAGGGAAAAAAAAAAAGCACUAAUAACUUUUCCCAGAGGACUGUGUGCUGGAAAAGGAUUUAAUAUUGAAGAACUGAGAGAUCUGGCUAAGAAGCUUAUCCUAACAAAAUGAACAUUCCUUUCAAUAAAAAGCUAGCAGUCAGUGACUGUUUCCAGCCCCCACUCCUGAGCUGAGCUGGCACUGGGUGUGCUGCUCCUAUGGGCUCUGCUGAGAGUGACCCUGCACAUCAUCAUGUGGCAGUUUGCAUGGCUCUUCAGGAGCCCAUCACUCCCAGGCAGGGAUGCUGCUUGACCAUAUGAAUAUACAAACAGCUGUCUGGAGGCCUUUCUCCCCAGGAAUGCAUGCCUGCCUUUGUUAGCAUUAGAAUGAGUUUCCUCACCUCUUUCCUUCACCUGAAACUGAAUGUGAGUGGGGUGUCUGCACCCACCUGGUGGAGAACAGGACAGCAGAGGGGGAGAUGUUUCCCUCAGUGCUUUCUCACUAUGACCAUAGUCAAUUAAGCAUCUCUCUGGCCUGGUUGAAAUGGUAU